CUUCAGCUCUGUAUUUCGAAAACCAGGGCCUGAAGCUUUUCCCCCACUUGCUGGAACAGCUAAGCCUCUAGAAUCUUAAAUCCUAUGUUCCACAUGCAGACCACAGCUGCCUCUCUUUCUAGCUCCUAUAUGCCUGUCAUUCCCAUGAUACUUAUUUUUUCAACUUCAUCAAAAUCUCCAGUUCCUUACAGUCUCAACCUGACAUCUUCAAAUCCCUGACUCACCAUUUCCAUCUAGGAUAACUGAUAUAAAACCUCUUUACAUAUUUCCUUGUCUAAACCCCAAAGCACUCUUACUCUCCCCCACCCCCAGAUACACUGAGAGAACAUCUCAUCUUGUAGACAUACUAAGAGAUUAAGCCCUAAUCGGGAGGCAACUUUGAUUAUUACUUAGAGAUUAGUAACUGCUAAUCUCAUAUCCGUCUUCCUUCCUAAUAUUAAUAGAAUCUAAUUCUUUUCANGAUGACAAUGUGCAGCACCAAAGAUUACACUUCUCAGAUUCCCUUACAAAUAGAGGUCACCAAUGAGAGAUGUGCAGUAGUCAUCUGGGGAGGAGUCCCAGAAAUACUCUUAAAUGGAGGUGAACUCAUCUGGAUGGUUUGUUUCCUUUUGUCCUUUCUCCCUUUUUCCUCUUCAUGACUGAGAUAUAUAAUGACUGGAACUUCAGCAGCAAUUUUAACACCAUGAGGAAACCUUUAAAAAGUCUCUACAUGCUAAAGAUAAUGGAACAGAAACCCAGCAAGAGCCUGAGGGCACUGACAAUAUUGAAUAAUUACUAUAUAGCCCUAGACUUCCUGCUUGCAGACUUUUUUUUUUUUGAUAAGAAAAAUAAAUAUUUGUCUUUUAAAAGUCAUUAUUGUCACAUAAUUGCUGCUAGUGAUUUGGCACUUCCUAACAGACACAACUGCUUCGUUCAUUCGUUUUCUACCAUGUUUGCUGACUGCUUGUUCUGAGUUUAGCAUUAUUUAAGAAGUUUGGGUAAAAACAUAAAAAGUAUAAGAAUAGUUUUAGAGUGCAAAUAAAUUCCCUAUUUCUUCUAUUUAAGGGAAGACAGAUCUUAAAAAUCAAGAUGAACUUCAUGGCAAACUAUAUUUUUCAAACACACUAAAAACUGUAGGCAAUAAGCACUGUGCAUUAUCAAAGACAGCAGAGGGGGUGAGUGGAAUACAGUGACUGAGAAAGAAGAUGAUUAGGUGAUUG
rnacentral:lncRNA from 1 species